GGUGAUGUAGUUCAGUGGCAGAGUACUUGCCUAGUACGUGGGAAGCCCUGGAUUCAAAUCCCAGCAACACAA
rnacentral:tRNA from 1 species